rnacentral:rRNA from 1 species
AUACGGAGGAUCCGAGCGUUAUCCGGAUUUAUUGGGUUUAAAGGGAGCGUAGGUGGAUUGUUAAGUCAGUUGUGAAAGUUUGCGGCUCAACCGUAAAAUUGCAGUUGAAACUGGCAGUCUUGAGUACAGUAGAGGUGGGCGGAAUUCGUGGUGUAGCGGUGAAAUGCUUAGAUAUCACGAAGAACUCCGAUUGCGAAGGCAGCUCACUAGACUGUUACUGACACUGAUGCUCGAAAGUGUGGGUAUCAAACAGGAUUAGAUACCCUGGUAGUCCACACAGUAAACGAUGAAUACUCGCUGUUUGCGAUAUACAGUAAGCGGCCAAGCGAAAGCAUUAAGUAUUCCACCUGGGGAGUACGCCGGCAACGGUGAAACUCAAAUGAAUUGGCGGG